rnacentral:rRNA from 1 species
GAUGAACGCUAGCGGCAGGCCUAAUACAUGCAAGUCGAACGAUACCAGAGAGCUUGCUUUCUGGGAAAGUGGCGCACGGGUGCGUAACGCGUAUGCAACCUACCUUAAUCAGGGGGAUAGCCUCUCGAAAGAGAGAUUAACACCGCAUAAAAUCACACUUCGUCAUCGAAGAAUGAUCAAAUAUUUAUAGGAUUAAGAUGGGCAUGCGUUACAUUAGCUAGUUGGUGAAGUAACGGGUCACCAAGGCUACGAUGUCUAGGGGAUCUGAGAGGAUGCCCCCCCACCCUGGUACUGGGACACGGACCAGCGUCCUACGGGAGGCAGCAGUAAGUAAUAUUGGUCAAUGGCGGCAACUCUGAACCAGCCAUGCCGCGUGCAGGAAGACGGCCCUAUGGGUUGUAAACUGCUUUUAUACGGGAAUAAACCUCUCUACGUGUAGAGAGUUGAAUGUACUGUAAGAAUAAGGAUCGGCUAACUCCGUGCCAGCCGCCGCGGUAACAC